UUGAGAGUGUUUGUCCCACAUUGAAAUGUUAAGGGACCUAGCCUGGGUUUAUAAGGAGUUGGGCAACUCCCCCCAUUGCCAAUUGGUUUUGGGGUGGAACCUCAACUUCCUUCAUGGUAUCAGAGCAAGGCUUCACGUGUUGAGCCCAACAGCCACACGUGCUCCCACGUCACCCAAUAUGUGUUGUCCACGUGUUAGGCUUGAAAGUUCGCCACACGUGCGGGGGCGUGUUGAGAGUGUUUGUCCCACAUUGAAAUGUUAAGGGACCUAGCCUGGGUUUAUAAGGAGUUGGGCAACUCCCCCCAUUGCCAAUUGGUUUUGGGGUGGAACCUCAACUUCCUUCAAAAAGCCUUUAACGUUUGGUUUGGCAGACGCACUUGUUUGUAAAUUUACCUGCAAGUUUUUCUGGCAUUCCCACAAUAUACAAGCUAGUUUGUACUCGCACGCAGAGUACAGAGCCCAAGUGCUUUGAACAUUCCAAACGACAGCUCAAUAAUUAAACUUUGUCGUUC
rnacentral:lncRNA from 1 species